CCCAGACUCCUACGGGAGGCAGCAGUGAGGAAUAUUGGUCAAUGGGCGAGAGCCUGAACCAGCCAAGUCGCGUGAGGGAGUACUGCCCUAUGGGUUGUAAACCUCUUUUGUCGGGGAGCAAAAGCCGGACGUGUCCGGCUGUGAGAGUACCCGAAGAAAAAGCAUCGGCUAACUCCGUGCCAGCAGCCGCGGUAAUACGGAGGAUGCGAGCGUUAUCCGGAUUUAUUGGGUUUAAAGGGUGCGCAGGCGGCACGGCAAGCCGGCGGUCAAAGCGCGGGGCUCAACCCCGCCCAGCCGUCGGAACUGCCGGGCUAGAGUGGGCGAGAAGUGCGCGGAAUGCGUGGUGUAGCGGUGAAAUGCAUAGAUAUCACGCAGAACUCCGAUUGCGAAGGCAGCAUACCGGCGCCCGACUGACGCUGAGGCACGAAAGCGUGGGGAUCGAACAGGAUUAGAUACCCCAGUACAA
rnacentral:rRNA from 1 species